rnacentral:tRNA from 1 species
UCUAAAAUGGCAGAAUAGUGCCGUGAAGUUAAGUUUCUCUUAUGAGGUUUCCUCUUUUAGAA